rnacentral:rRNA from 1 species
GACGAACGCUGGCGGCGUGCUUAACACAUGCAAGUGGUGCGACGAACCAGGCUUCGGCCUGGGGCCAAGCCGCGAACGGGUGAGUAACACGUGGGUAACCUGCCCCGAUGACUGGGACAACCCGAGGAAACUCGGGCUAAUACCGGAUGUAGUCUGAUUCCAUCAGGAGCCAGACCAAAGGAAGCUUCGGCCUCCGCAUUGGGAUGGGCCCGCGGCCCAUUAGCUUGUUGGUGAGGUAACGGCUCACCAA